UGUUCCCGCCCGGGAUCGAACCGGGGACCUUGUGCGUGUGAAGCACACGUGAUAGCCACUACACCACGGAAAC
rnacentral:tRNA from 1 species